UACAGAGGUCCCAAGCGUUGUUCGGAUUCACUGGGCGUAAAGGGCUCGUAGGCGGCCAACUAAGUCAGACGUGAAAUCCCUCGGCUUAACCCGGGAACUGCGUCCGAUACUGGGAGGCUUGAAUCCGGGAGAGGGAUGUGGAAUUCCAGGUGUAGCGGUGAAAUGCGUAGAUAUCUGGAGGAACACCGGUGGCGAAGGCGGCAUCCUGGACCGGUAUUGACGCUGAGGCGCGAAAGCCAGGGGAGCAAACGGG
rnacentral:rRNA from 1 species